rnacentral:misc_RNA from 1 species
GAAAUGCGAUACGUAGUGUGAAUUGCAGAAUUCAGUGAAUCAUCGAAUCUUUGAACGCACAUUGCGCCCUUUGGUAUUCCAAAGGGCAUGCCUGUUCGAGCGUCAUUUCAACCCUCAGAACCCCUUGCGGGAUCUGGCGUUGGGGAUUGGCAUCCAGCCAGCCCCGAAAUCUAGUGGCGGUCCCUCCGCGACCUCCCCUGUGCAGUAGCGAUACCUCGCAGCGGGACAGCGGUCUGACCACGCCGUAAAACCCCCAACUUCUCAAGGUUGACCUCGAAUCAGGUAGGAAUACCCGCUGAACUUAAGC